rnacentral:rRNA from 1 species
UGGGGAAUAUUGGACAAUGGGCGCAAGCCUGAUCCAGCCAUGCCGCGUGAGUGAUGAAGGCCCUAGGGUUGUAAAGCUCUUUCACCGGUGAAGAUAAUGACGGUAACCGGAGAAGAAGCCCCGGCUAACUUCGUGCCAGCAGCCGCGGUAAUACGAAGGGGGCUAGCGUUGUUCGGGUUUACUGGGCGUAAAGCGCACGUAGGCGGACUAUUAAGUCAGGGGUGAAAUCCCGGGGCUCAACCCCGGAACUGCCUUUGAUACUGGUAGUCUUGAGUUCGAGAGAGGUGAGUGGAAUUCCGAGUGUAGAGGUGAAAUUCGUAGAUAUUCGGAGGAACACCAGUGGCGAAGGCGGCUCACUGGCUCGAUACUGACGCUGAGGUGCGAAAGCGUGGGGAGCAAACAGG